UACGUAGGUGGCAAGCGUUAUCCGGAAUUACUGGGCGUAAAGCGCACGCAGGCGGUCUUUUAAGUUUGACGUGAAAGCUCCCGGCUUAACUGGGAGAGGUCGUUGAAUACUGGAAGACUUGAGGCAAUGAGAGGGGUGUAGAAUUCCCGGUGUAGCAGUGAAAUGCGUAGAGAUCAUGAGGAAGACCAGUGGCGAAGGCGGGUCUCUGGACAGUUCCUGACACUGAGGCACGAAGGCCAGGGGAGCAAACGGG
rnacentral:rRNA from 1 species